rnacentral:lncRNA from 1 species
GGACGGCUGCAUGUGAGAGAGAAGGAGGUGGGCGGCGUUAGAAAGAGAGGGAGAGAUGGCCGAGAAGUUUGAGAGAGAAAGAGAGAAAGUGUUUUUCCUUUUUUUUAAGUGAUUAUAGUUUAAUUAUGGCUCCUUAUAAUCUGUGUUGGGCUCUCAUUUUUUUUAAAUCAUUUGGGCCUUCUUUUUAAACUAAUGGGCCGAUUUAUUUUCUUUAAAGCUGUUAGACAGAUGGGCCUUUAUUUGUUAUAUGGGACAUUUUAAUAGACAAGCCUAUUGAUUAUAUUUUCUUGGGCUCUA